rnacentral:rRNA from 1 species
AUUGAACGCUGGCGGCAUGCUUUACACAUGCAAGUCGAACGGACUUAGGUGCUUGCACCUAGGUUAGUGGCGAACGGGUGAGUAAUGCAUCGGAACGUACCGUGUAAUGGGGGAUAACGCAGCGAAAGUUGUGCUAAUACCGCAUACGAUCUACGGAUGAAAGCAGGGGAUCGCAAGACCUUGCGCUCUUUGAGCGGCCGAUGUCAGAUUAGCUAGUUGGUGAGGUAAAGGCUCACCAAGGCGACGAUCUGUAGCGGGUCUGAGAGGAUGAUCCGCCACACUGGGACUGAGACACGGCCCAGACUCCUACGGGAGGCAGCAGUGGGGAAUUUUGGACAAUGGGGGCAACCCUGAUCCAGCCAUGCCGCGUGAGUGAAGAAGGC